rnacentral:rRNA from 1 species
UCCCCUAGUAACUGCGAGUGAAGCGGGAAAAGCUCAAAUUUAAAAUCUGGCGGUCUCUGGCCGUCCGAGUUGUAAUCUAGAGAAGUGUUACCCGCGCUGGACCGUGUACAAGUCCCCUGGAAUGGGGCGUCAUAGAGGGUGAGAAUCCCGUCUCUGACACGGACUACCAGGGCUUUGUGGUAUGCUCUCAAAGAGUCGAGUUGUUUGGGAAUGCAGCUCAAAAUGGGUGGUAAAUUCCAUCUAAAGCUAAAUAUUGGCGAGAGACCGAUAGCGAACAAGUACCGUGAGGGAAAGAUGAAAAGAACUUUGGAAAGAGAGUUAAACAGUACGUGAAAUUGCUGAAAGGGAAACGCUUGAAGUCAGUCGCGUUGGCCGGGAAUCAGCCUCGCUUUUGUGUGGUGUACUUUCUGGUUGACGGGUCAGCAUCAAUUUUGACUGCUGGAAAAAGGCUUGGGGAAUGUGGCAGCUCCGGCUGUGUUAUAGCCCCUUGUCACAUACAGCGGUUGGGAUUGAGGAACUCAGCACGCCGCAAGGCCGGGUUUCGACCACGUUCGUGCUUAGGAUGCUGGCAUAAUGGCUUUAAGCGACCCGUCUUGAAACACGGACCAAGGAGUCUAACAUGCCUGCGAGUGUUUGGGUGGAAAACCCGAGCGCGUAAUGAAAGUGAAAGUUGAGAUCCCUGUCGUGGGGAGCAUCGACGCCCGGACCAGAACUUUUGGGACGGAUCCGCGGUAGAGCAUGUAUGUUGGGACCCGAAAGAUGGUGAACUAUGCCUGAAUAGGGUGAAGCCAGAGGAAACUCUGGUGGAGGCUCGUAGCGAUUCUGACGUGCAAAUCGAUCGUCAAAUUUGGGUAUAGGG